UACGAAGGGGGCUAGCGUUGCUCGGAAUUACUGGGCGUAAAGCGCACGUAGGCGGCUUUCUAAGUCGGGGGUGAAAUCCUGGAGCUCAACUCCAGAACUGCCUUCGAUACUGGAAAGCUCGAGUCCGGGAGAGGUGAGUGGAACUGCGAGUGUAGAGGUGAAAUUCGUAGAUAUUCGCAAGAACACCAGUGGCGAAGGCGGCUCACUGGCCCGGUACUGACGCUGAGGCGCGAAAGCCAGGGGAGCGAACGGG
rnacentral:rRNA from 1 species